AUGACUCCAUGUCAGGAAAGGCUACAAAAUUUGAGGGGCUUGGGGCAAAAGGAAAAUGCAGACCUUCUUGUUCAAAAAGUACUAAGAAUUCAAGAUGGUGACUCUGGGUACCUGGAUGGGGAAGGAGCAAGAGGCUUGUUUCGGCCAAGCUGAGACCUCAGGCCACCUGAUCGACACACCCAGUCGGGGGUGAAGGGGAUGGUCACCGUCACACUCUUCACCAAGAUCCCACGAGGUUUUCUCUGAAUCAGAGAAGGCCAGCACGUGCCAAUUUAGUAAUCAGAAAAAAAAGUGCGAAGGAGUGAAUCACCGGGCCUGGUGUGAGGAAGUCCUGACCACAAAGCAAAUUUGGAGAGACAGCAGUGAGCAACAGCUGGAAGCGAGACCGAGAUCGAAUGCGGGUUUCGGUGGUGAGAGUGCUGAAUCCUAACCACUAGACCACCAGGGUCUAGCUCUUAUCUGCCUUGAAAAAAAUUUUGACAAGGAGACAGAAAGUAGAGAGCAAAGUAAGGCGUUUAUUAGAAAAGCAGAGUAACAUGCCGACAUACGAGCUUAGAGAAAGUCAUGCUUCGGGGACUUUUGGAGUGGGACUGGAGCAAACCACUCCAGUAUCCUUGCCUGAGAAUCCCCAUGGACAGAGGAGCCGGGUGGGCUACAGUCCAUGGGGUCGCAAAGAGUUGGACAGGACUGAGUGACUAACUGUAACGCAGAAUGGCAGGUACCAUUUUGUGCAUGUGCAGUUGAGUUCUCCCUGACCCCAAGGAUGAGGAAUUUGUGACUUCUUGAUCUUUUACCCAAGCAGGGCUUAAUUCCCCAUUACUGUGAUCUUCAAGUGUUCCCAGAAGGCAAAGUCCAGCUAUUUACACUGUUCCUGUUGUUAUUUCUAUCUGAACUAUAAACAGGAGGCUGGCUGUAAAUGUCUAACCCAGAGCCCAUCUAUUCCUGGCUUCAAGAAAUAUGAACAGGAGGCUAGUUGUAAGUGUGUGGCCUGGAGUCCAUCUGUCCCCUGCCUCCGAAGGAGUAGGCAGAAGCUAGAGCGUGAGGGUGGAGGGCAGGGAUGGUCUUCUGUGUCAGGAUCAGCCAAUGGCAGCGGGGGUUAUUGGGGGCUUCCCACGGAGGUUUGGAGUGUCUGCUGGGAAAAAAAAAGGCACAACCUAAAAGUUGAGAAUUAUUUUUCAUUUGGGGACAUUACCGAGAACUAUGUAACCACAGAUAGCUCUAUGUAGCCUCUCAGAUAGCUCUGAGGCUCUGUUCCAAAGAGGUAAGGGAGGAGCCAGCAUAUACAGGCGUUUUUGCUGAGGGGAAAAAAAAAGUGUAGUCAAACAUCAAAAGAUUACUUCUAAUUACAAAAACAGACAUCUCAAACUAAUGAUUUUAGUGUUUAUGUAUGGGAAGAAGCAAGAGUCUGGGCUUACUGAAAUUACUCCUUUGAUGUACAUCUUAACU